GUCGGUGUAGCUCAGAUGGUAGAGCGCUUUCCCAGUAGGAGAGAGGUCGUUGGUUCAAUCCCAGCCAUCGACA
rnacentral:tRNA from 1 species